AAACAAGCAAAUAAAUUAAAACUUUCAACAACGGAUCUCUUGGCUCUGGCAUCGAUGAAGAACGCAUCGAAAUGCGAUAAGUAAUGUGAAUUGCAGAAUUCAGUGAAUCAUCGAAUCUUUGAACGCACAUUGCGCCCGCCAGUAUUCUGGCGGGCAUGCCUGUUCGAGCGUCAUUACAACCCUCAGGCCCCCGGGCCUGGCGUUGGGGAUCGGCGGAAGCCCCCUGCGGGCACAACGCCGUCCCCCAAAUACAGUGGCGGUCCCGCCGCAGCUUCCAUUGCGUAGUAGCUAACACCUCGCAACUGGAGAGCGGCGCGGCCACGCCGUAAAACACCCAACUUCUGAAUGUUGA
rnacentral:rRNA from 1 species